CUACGGGGGGCACCAGUGGGGAAUAUUGCACAAUGGAGGAAACUCUGAUGCAGCAACGCCGCGUGGAGGAUGACACUUUUCGGAGCGUAAACUCCUUUUAUAUAGGAAGAAGAUGACGGUACUAUAUGAAUAAGCGCCGACUAACUCCGUGCCAGCAGCCGCGGUAAUACGGAGGGCGCAAGCGUUACUCGGAAUCACUGGGCGUAAAGAGCGUGUAGGCGGAUUAAAAAGUCAGAAGUGAAAUCCUAUAGCUUAACUAUAGAACUGCUUCUGAAACUCUUAAUCUAGAAUAUGGGAGAGGUAGAUGGAAUUUCUGGUGUAGGGGUAAAAUCCGUAGAGAUCAGAAGGAAUACCGAUUGCGAAGGCGAUCUCCUGGAACAUUACUGACGCUAAGGCGUGAAAGCGUGGGGAGCAAACAGGAUUAGAUACCCCAGUAGUC
rnacentral:rRNA from 1 species